CUUCCCGAUGACAGAGAAUGCAGCGCCGUAGGAUAGGGUGCAUUCACGGCGGUAAAUUUCACAUAGUCCUACUACGCGUUCUGGGCCAUUAAUUCAGGAGACAUAUGUUCAUCUUCAAGAAGGAGGAUGAUGGCUCAAUUUCUGAUCGGAUCGUGAAUGGGAAGCGAACUAGAAUCGCUAACUUCAUUCGCACUCUUUGAACAGGUUAAGAUUCGUGGGAAGUGAUUGUUGAAGCAGUAGCCAAAUAAAGUUGAAGGUCUAAGGUGGUGCUUUUGUCUUCCAAUGAAGGGCUCCUGAUGUGGUGGGGUCACUAUUUUGGAAA